rnacentral:rRNA from 1 species
UACGAAGGGGGCUAGCGUUGCUCGGAAUUACUGGGCGUAAAGCGCGCGCAGGCAGCGGUGCUGGCCCGGCGUGAAAGCCCCCGGCUCAACCGGGGAGAGUCGUCGGGGACCGCACCGCUUGAGGGCGGUAGGGGCUGGUGGAAUGCCUGGUGUAGUGGUGAAAUGCGUAGAGAUCAGGCAGAACACCUGGGGCGAAGGCGUCCAGCUGGGCCGUCCCUGACGCUGAGGCGCGAAGGUGUGGGGAGCGAACGGG